rnacentral:rRNA from 1 species
AGGCCCUUCGGGGUACUCGAGUGGCGAACGGGUGAGUAACACGUGGGUGAUCUGCCCUGCACUCUGGGAUAAGCCUGGGAAACUGGGUCUAAUACCGGAUAGGACCACACACUUCAUGGUGAGUGGUGCAAAGCUUUUGCGGUGUGGGAUGAGCCCGCGGCCUAUCAGCUUGUUGGUGGGGUAAUGGCCCACCAAGGCGACGACGGGUAGCCGGCCUGAGAGGGUGACCGGCCACACUGGGACUGAGAUACGGCCCAGACUCCUACGGGAGGCAGCAGUGGGGAAUAUUGCACAAUGGGCGCAAGCCUGAUGCAGCGACGCCGCGUGAGGGAUGACGGCCUUCGGGUUGUAAACCUCUUUCAGUAGGGACGAAGCGAAAGUGACGGUACCUACAGAAGAAGGACCGGCCAACUACGUGCCAGCAGCCGCGGUAAUACGUAGGGUCCGAGCGUUGUCCGGAAUUACUGGGCGUAAAGAGCUCGUAGGUGGUUUGUCACGUUGUUCGUGAAAACCCACAGCUUAACUGUGGGCGUGCGGGCGAUACGGGCAGACUAGAGUACUGCAGGGGAGACUGGAAUUCCUGGUGUAGCGGUGGAAUGCGCAGAUAUCAGGAGGAACACCGGUGGCGAAGGCGGGUCUCUGGGCAGUAACUGACGCUGAG